CCUACGGGAGGCAGCAGCAGGGAAUAUUGCACAAUGGGCGAAAGCCUGACGCAGCGACGCCGCGUGAGGGAUGAAGGCUUUAGGGUUGUAAACCUCUUUCAGUGGGGAAGAAGCGAAAGUGACGGUACCCACACAAGAAGGCCCGGCCAAAUACGUGCCAGCAGCCGCGGUAAUAAGUAGGGGCCAAGCGUUAUCCGGAUUUAUUGGGCGUAAAGAGGUCGUAGGCGGUUUGGUAAGUCGGUCGUGAAAGUCCGUGGCUCAACCUCGGAAUGCCGGUCGAAAAUGCCAUGACUAGAGUCCGGUAGAGGAGAGUGGAAUUCCCGGUGUAGCGGUGAAAUGCGCAGAUAUCGGGAGGAACACCAGUGGCGAAGGCGGCUCUCUGGGCCGGUACUGACGCUGAGGAGCGAAAGCGUGGGGAGCAAACAGGAUUAGAUACCCUGGUAG
rnacentral:rRNA from 1 species